CCUACGGGAGGCAGCAGUGAGGAAUAUUGGUCAAUGGACGAGAGUCUGAACCAGCCAAGUAGCGUGAAGGAUGACUGCCCUAUGGGUUGUAACCUUCUUUUAUAAAGGAAUAAAACGAGGCACGUGUGCCUUUUUGCAUGUCCUUUAUGAAUAAGGAUCGGCUAACUCCGUGCCAGCAGCCGCGGUAAUACGGAGGGUCCGAGCGUUAUCCGGAUUUAUUGGGUUUAAAGGGAGCGUAGAUGGGUUGUUAAGUCAGUUGUGAAAGUUUGCGGCUCAACCGUAAAAUUGCAAUUGAUACUGGCAGUCUUGAGUACAGUUGAGGUAGGCGGAAUUCGUGGUGUAGCGGUGAAAUGCUUAGAGAUCACGAAGAACCCCGAUUGCGAAGGCAGCUUACUAAACUGUGACUGACAUUGAUGCGCGAAAGUGUGGGUAUCAAACAGGAUUAGAUACCCUUGUAGUC
rnacentral:rRNA from 1 species